UGCCAGCAGCCGCGGUAACACGGGGAGCGCAAGCGUUAUCCGGAUCUAUUGGGCGUAAAGAGCUCGUAGGCGGUUCGGUAAGUCGGGUGUGAAAACUCUGGGCUCAACCCAGAGAGGCCACUCGAUACUGCUGUGACUAGAGUGCGGUAGGGGAGCGGGGAAUUCCUGGUGUAGCGGUGAAAUGCGCAGAUAUCAGGAGGAACACCAGUGGCGAAGGCGCCGCUCUGGGCCGUAACUGACGCUGAGGAGCGAAAGCAUGGGUAGCAAACAGGAUUAGAUA
rnacentral:rRNA from 1 species